AGAAAGUUGUUUUGGAGGUUAAUC
rnacentral:siRNA from 1 species